UACGUAGGGUGCGAGCGUUAAUCGGAAUUACUGGGCGUAAAGCGUGCGCAGGCGGUUCGCUAAGACCGAUGUGAAAUCCCCGGGACUUAACCUGGGAACUGCAUUGGUGACUGGCGGGCUAGAGUAUGGCAGAGGGGGGCUAGAAUCCACGUGUAGCAGUGAAAUGCGUAGAGAUGUGGAGGAAAUACCGAUGGCGAAGGCAGCCCCCUGGGCCAAUACUGACGCUCAUGCACGAAAGCGUGGGGAGCAAACAGG
rnacentral:rRNA from 1 species